rnacentral:rRNA from 1 species
AUCAUACUGUGAAACUGCGAAUGGCUCAUUAAAUCAGUUAUCGUUUAUUUGAUAGUACCUUUACCUGGAUAACCGUGGUAAUUCUAGAGCUAAUACAUGCUAAAAACCUCGACUUCGGAAGGGGUGUAUUUAUUAGAUAAAAAACCAAUGCCCUUCGGGGCUCUUUGGUGAUUCAUAAUAACUUAACGAAUCGCAUGGCCUUGCGCCGGCGAUGGUUCAUUCAAAUUUCUGCCCUAUCAACUUUCGAUGGUAGGAUAGUGGCCUACCAUGGUCUCAACGGGUAACGGGGAAUUAGGGUUCUAUUCCGGAGAGGGAGCCUGAGAAACGGCUACCACAUCCAAGGAAGGCAGCAGGCGCGCAAAUUACCCAAUCCCAAUUCGGGGAGGUAGUGACAAUAAAUACUGAUACGGGGCUCUUUCGGGUCUCGUAAUUGGAAUGAGUACAAUCUAAAUCCCUUAACGAGGAACAAUUGGAGGGCAAGUCUGGUGCCAGCAGCCGCGGUAAUUCCAGCUCCAAUAGCGUAUAUUAAAGUUGUUGCCGUUAAAAAGCUCGUAGUUGAACCUUGGACCUGGCUGAUCUGUCCUCCUAAUCGAGCGCACGGAUUCGGUCGGGUCUUUCCUUCUGGGGAGCCCUAUGCCCUUCACUGGGUGUAGUGGGGAACCAGGACUUUUACCUUGAAAAAAUUAGAGUGUUCAAAGCAGGCCUUUGCUCGAAUACAUUAGCAUGGAAUAAUAGAAUAGGACAUCGGUUCUAUUUUGUUGGUUUCUAGGACCGCUGUAAUGAUUAAUAGGGAUAGUCGGGGGCGUCAGUAUUCAAUUGUCAGAGGUGAAAUUCUUGGAUUUAUUGAAGACUAACUACUGCGAAAGCAUUCGCCAAGGAUGUUUUCAUUAAUCAGUGAACGAAAGUUAGGGGAUCGAAGACGAUCAGAUACCGUCGUAGUCUUAACCAUAAACUAUGCCGACUAGGGAUCGGACGGUGGUUUUUUUAUGCCCCGUUCGGCACCUUACGAGAAAUCAAAGUUUUUGGGCUCGGGGGGGAGUAUGGUCGCAAGGCUGAAACUUAAAGAAAUUGACGGAAGGGCACCACCAGGCGUAAACUCAACAGUUUCAUACUACAAGCCGUAGUUAACUCUGCGCCAGCCGCCUGAAAAGGUCGGUGUGUGUCGUCGUUAAAGGCUAGUCCGGGGGACUUUACCGUCCCCUGGGCAACAUCCUCAAAUUGACGGGAAAGUCCUAAAGUCCUCGACACCAAGCCAGCCACCGAGAGGUGCUGGUGGCCCGGGAGAAAGACCUGGGGUACGGUAACAGAACGAGGAAUUUUGCAAUGGAUCAUCCGCAGCCAAGCACCCCACCUCCUCCGGGAGAGGGUGAAGGUUCAACGACUAAACGGGGAUGGGUGCUCGAUUACGUGACAAGAUCCCACCGUCACCGUAACGUGCGUGCUUAAGAUAUAGUCUAAUCCCCGGGGAAACUCGGGGUACUUAUAACUACCUA